rnacentral:rRNA from 1 species
UACGUAGGGGGCAAGCGUUGUCCGGAUUUAUUGGGCGUAAAGAGCGUGUAGGCGGCCAGGUAGGUCUGCUGUGAAAACUCGAGGCUUAACCUCGAGAUGUCGGCGGAAACCAUCUGGCUAGAGUCCGGAAGAGGAGAAUGGAAUUCCCGGUGUAGCGGUGAAAUGCGCAGAUAUCGGGAAGAACACCAGUGGCGAAGGCGGCUCACUGGCCCGGUACUGACGCUGAGGUGCGAAAGCGUGGGGAGCAAACAGG